rnacentral:ncRNA from 2 species
CACAAUCCUGGCGAUGGGGUUCGCCUACGAUGCCCGGCUGUAAAGCCGGCGCUGAUGACUCCUACAUCUCG